AAUAAAAUAAGAUUUGUUUUUCAAAAAAGAGGUAAUUAAGAUUACCUCCAGAGGCAUGAUUCCCUGUGAUAGACACAACCCGACGACCGUCGUGGCCGGGUGGCCGGGAAGAUUACGUCUAAACUUGGCCAGGAGGCAGGAGACUCCUCUGACAUGACAGACCGUCCUCGAAGACUAGCUCAUCUCCUCUGAUCUUCAUAUUGCCAAUUUCCGUGGGAAAGAUGUACUACUCUUUCCAGGUACCAAUAUCGUUACUCGAACCCUGGUGAGACUCUUUAAUCAUGCUGAAUCACGACCACUUUAGCUGGGCG
rnacentral:lncRNA from 1 species